GGGCCCGCACAAGCGGUGGAGCAUGUGGUUUAAUUCGAUGAUACGCGAGGAACCUUACCAGGGCUUAAAUGUAGUGGGACAGGUCUAGAGAUAGACCCUUCUUCGGACUCAUUACAAGGUGCUGCAUGGUUGUCGUCAGCUCGUGCCGUGAGGUGUCAGGUUAAGUCCUAUAACGAGCGCAACCCCUAUCGUUAGUUGCCAGCGAGUAAUGUCGGGAACUCUAACGAAACUGCCAGUGCAAACUGUGAGGAAGGUGGGGAUGACGUCAAAUCAUCACGGCCCUUACGUCCUGGGCUACACACGUGCUACAAUGGCCGGUACAGAGAGCAGCCACUUCGCAAGAAGGAGCGAAUCUAUUAAAACCGGUCUCAGUUCGGAUCGGAGUCUGCAACUCGACUCCGUGAAGCUGGAAUC
rnacentral:rRNA from 1 species